rnacentral:rRNA from 1 species
UAGGUUAACGAGGCGAACCGGGGGAACUGAAACAUCUAAGUACCCCGAGGAAAAGAAAUCAACCGAGAUUCCCCCAGUAGCGGCGAGCGAACGGGGAGCAGCCCAGAGUCUGAAUCAGCUUGUGUGUUAGUGGAACGGUCUGGAAAGUCCGACGGUACAGGGUGAUAGUCCCGUACACCAAAAUGCACAGGCUGUGAACUCGAAGAGUAGGGCGGGACACGUGGUAUCCUGUCUGAAUAUGGGGGGACCAUCCUCCAAGGCUAAAUACUCCUGACUGACCGAUAGUGAACCAGUACCGUGAGGGAAAGGCGAAAAGAACCCCGGCGAGGGGAGUGAAAAAGAACCUGAAACCGUGUACGUACAAGCAGUGGGAGCACCCUUUAGGGUGUGACUGCGUACCUUUUGUAUAAUGGGUCAGCGACUUAUAUUCUGUAGCAAGGUUAACCGUAUAGGGGAGCCGCAGGGAAACCGAGUCUUAACUGGGCGUUAAGUUGCAGGGUAUAGACCCGAAACCCGGUGAUCUAGCCAUGGGCAGGUUGAAGGUUGGGUAACACUAACUGGAGGACCGAACCGACUAAUGUUGAAAAAUUAGCGGAUGACUUGUGGCUGGGGGUGAAAGGCCAAUCAAACCGGGAGAUAGCUGGUUCUCCCCGAAAGCUAUUUAGGUAGCGCCUCGUGAACUCAUCUUCGGGGGUAGAGCACUGUUUCGGCUAGGGGGUCAUCCCGACUUACCAACCCGAUGCAAACUACGAAUACCGAAGAAUGUUAUCACGGGAGACACACGGCGGGUGCUAACGUCCGUCGUGAAGAGGGAAACAACCCAGACCGCCAGCUAAGGUCCCAAAGUCACAGUUAAGUGGGAAACGAUGUGGGAAGGCACAGACAGCCAGGAUGUUGGCUUAGAAGCAGCCAUCAUUUAAAGAAAGCGUAAUAGCUCACUGGUCGAGUCGGCCUGCGCGGAAGAUGUAACGGGGCUAAACUGUGCAC